rnacentral:rRNA from 1 species
AAAUCCCUUAAAGCCGGUCUCAGUCCGGAUCGGAGUCUGCAACUCGACUCCGUGAAGUCGGAAUCGCUAGUAAUCGUGAAUCAGAAUGUCACGGUGAAUACGUUCCCGGGCCUUGUACACACCGCCCGUCACACCAUGGGAGUGGACUGCACCAGAAGUGGUUAGCCUAACGCAAGAGGGCGAUCACCACGGUGUGGUUCAUGACUGGGGUGAAGUCGUAACAAGGUAGCCGUAGGGGAACCUGCGGCUGGAUCACCUCCUUA